rnacentral:rRNA from 1 species
GCCUACGGCCAUACCAGACGGAAGGCCCCCAAUCCCGUCCGAUCUCGGGAGAUAAACUGUCCCAGGCCUGGCUAGUACUUGGAUGGGUGACCACCAGGGAAUCCCAGGUGCCGUAGGCA